rnacentral:rRNA from 1 species
AGUGAACGCUGGCGGUAGGCCUAACACAUGCAAGUCGAACGGCAGCACAGUAAGAGCUUGCUCUUACGGGUGGCGAGUGGCGGACGGGUGAGGAAUACAUCGGAAUCUACUUUUUCGUGGGGGAUAACGUAGGGAAACUUACGCUAAUACCGCAUACGACCUACGGGUGAAAGCAGGGGAUCUUCGGACCUUGCGCGAUUGAAUGAGCCGAUGUCGGAUUAGCUAGUUUGCGGGGUAAAGGCCCACCAAGGCGACGAUCCGUAGCUGGUCUGAGAGGAUGAUCAGCCACACUGGAACUGAGACACGGUCCAGACUCCUACGGGAGGCAGCAGUGGGGAAUAUUGGACAAUGGGCGCAAGCCUGAUCCAGCCAUACCGCGUGGGUGAAGAAGGCCUUCGGGUUGUAAAGCCCUUUUGUUGGGAAAGAAAAGCAGCAGGUUAAUACCCCGCUGUUCCGACGGUACCCAAAGAAUAAGCACCGGCUAACUUCGUG